UACAGAGGUCCCAAGCGUUGUUCGGAUUCACUGGGCGUAAAGGGUGCGUAGGUGGCGGGGUAAGUCUGGUGUGAAAGCUCGGAGCUCAACCCCGAAAUGGCACUGGAUACUAAUCUGCUGGAGGACUGGAGGGGAGACUGGAAUUCUCGGUGUAGCAGUGAAAUGCGUAGAUAUCGAGAGGAACACCAGUGGCGAAGGCGAGUCUCUGGACAAUACCUGACACUGAGGCGCGAAAGCCAGGGGAGCAAAC
rnacentral:rRNA from 1 species